CCACAUCUUGGCAAUGGUAUAUACAGUGAUAUAUGGAUGACCGACGUUUAGAUGUACGAAGUUUUACAACGAUUUUGGAGCAUAUAGGGUGUGUGUGUUUACUGUUUCUUACAUGUGGCAACACUUUGAUAUACUUGUUUCUCUUUUUACACAUGCCUUUCUGUAUGUAUACACGCAACAGGGUCACCACGGGAACGUACCGCCACAAACACAUAUAGACAAUGACUGACGUUCAGAUGAGCAGAUUUUAGAGCAUAUACGGUUAGUACAUGUAUGUCUACUUUUCCUUUUAUGUGGCAACGCUUUGAUACAUUUGUUUUUGUUUUUAAACAUGCCUUUCUGUAUUUAUACAUUCAACCUUAACAGGGUUACCAUGGAAACGUACCCCAAUAUCUGGGCAAUGGUAUAUUGGAUGAGCAACGUUCAGAUGUACAAAGCCAUACAGCAGAUUUUAGAGCAUAUAAGGUGUGUAUGUUUACUUUUUUUUUGUGACGUCACUUUGAUAUAUUUGUUUUUCAUUUUACACAUACUCCUCUGUAUCUAUAAAAACAACAGGAUUACCGUGGAAACUAACAUCUACAUCUAGGCAAAGGUAUAAAUGGAUGACGACGUCAAGAUCUACAAACAGCAGUGAGAGAAAUCCUGCAACCGAUAACGAUCACGUGGCAAACGCUUAGCUUUAAAUAGUCUAAGCUUUUCUAUGACCCGUAAAUGAAUUCAGGCAAAACUUGAAUAUAAACAAACAUCUGUAUGUGCUGUUAUUGAAAACUCAAUCUACCUUGCAUGUGUUUUGCUGCGUAAUUCUUGGUGUUCGGUGUUUGCUGUUUUGUUACGGAUUUGUUUGGUUAUUUGAUGGUGUUUGUGGUGGUUUUGGUGUUUGUUGUGGUGUUUGUGGUGGUGUUUUGGUGUUUGUUGUGUUUUUUGGUGUCUUCCAUGUGGUCUUCUCGGUUGUAUUCGAUUUCGAUAAUGUUUUCGUUGUUUUGUUAAAAUAGGCUUUUGAUGCGAAUUGUUUGUCGCAUUGGGUUCCGUUACAAGAUGAUUUUCUUUCUGCCAUUAGCAAUGUAUUAUAACUAGAUUUAUUGAUGUACACAAUUAAAUAUUGCGCUGUGAUUAAUUUGUUUUACGUUUCCCAUCAGUUUUAGAUAGCUGCAAAGACAUGUCAUGAAAUUUGCAGACGACAGAUAUGGGGUGCAGGCGAGAUCUGGGUUGAACGCGCGAAAGCUGCAAAGACAUGCCAUGAAAUAUGCAGACGACAGACAUGCGGUGCAGACGAGAUCUGGGUUGAACGCGCGAAAUUGUUUUAUUUUAUUUCUGCGUUUUACUCUUUUUGUUUUAUAUUUCUUUUCUCUACUAGAAUGCUGGGGUAUGUAUACUAGAAGAAAAAAGACGCAGACGGACAUGGAGAUGCAGACCAAGCAAAAUGUGCGUUUCUCUUCAUGAUGAACAGGUAGUAUAUUGCUACUUAUGUUAUCCUUUUUUGUAUGCAUCUUUUCAACCUGGUGGCUGAUGAUAACAAGCACGUGUGAAUAUAUCAUGUUGUAGACAAUGCAAUGGUUUAGUGGAUGGUGCAGCUAUGGUACAAGAUAUUGACUACAAGCACGUGCAUGGAUGUCAUGUUGUAGAUUUCACAGUGGUUAAGUGGAUGCUGCAUCUUGAUCUUGAUCCUUUUUCUGAGGUAUGUAAUUUUUUUGACAGGUACAAUUAGAUUAUUUCGUUUGAUAGUUUUUUUUGCAGUUUUCAUCCCGCAAGUUACGCACAUACAUUUUCAUUUUAAUAAAUUUUCUAUAAAUUUUCUAUUUUCUGGUUAUCGUGUGGGCGUACAUGGUUUCAAUUUUUUUUUUAUUUUUAACUCAUUACUGUUAAUUGUUAGAUAAUGACUAGUGCAUAACUUUAAACCUUAAGAAAGCAAAGAACUAUUUUUCUCGUAGUAAUUCUGGAACGUAGGAAUGUGCCUUCAACUUCUUGCUAUGGUGAAAGUGAAGUAUCGGACAAGAAACACAACUAUUCGAAUGAGAAACUCAGGCUAUCAGACGAGGAACCCGAACUAUCCGACAAGAAGCAGUUUCCUGUACCAUACACCACUGUUCGAUUGGUCAAGAUAGAGAGGUUUUAGUGGAAUUCAGCCCUUGAUGGACAUAUCGUCUGUGUUUGCCCUGUCCUGUGUGGACAGAGAGCUCUUCCACACCUCAUGCAAAUAUCAGAAUCCGCGAGGUAGGCGACGAAUUUAUUCAGGUUUAAAACGACAGGAAGACAGUGUUUUACAUUGUUGAAAGACAAAGAAAAAGAAUCGAUUCCAGAACCUGUGUUUGUUGUUUUCGGCAGUUGAGGGGAGAGUUCGGUGCAUGCCAGAUACUAUCUAUUGAUUUCAAACACUCUAGUGAGAAAUAUAUGCAGAAGAAAGAACCAAGUGAUAAAUCCACGACAGACCUGGCACAAGCAUAUAGCAUGACACCACUACAGCCGCCAUGACAAAAGCAUAGUUAAACAAAUUAGACAUAAGCUAACAUGUAUAUAACUAUACCUCAACGUACAAAGUAUAUUGGGCUAUGUUGGAGUCACGCAUGUGCAGUCCAUCCGUCCGUCCGUUCAUUUGUCCACCAUGACCGCUUGGAUGAUUUUCAUAAAACUGAAAUAAAUUAUAAACCACAUCAAGACGAUGUACAGAGCGCUCAACCUAGGUCACAAGGCCCAAGGUCAAGGUUACUCAUGGAGGUCAAAGGUCAAACAGCUUAGCUUCAUGUCCGCUCUAUAUUGUCUAAACGGCUUUGAAAAUAUUUAGCUCGACUGUUUGAAGAAUAAGGAGGAUUACUGUACAUCCCUUGGCGUCUGUGUCACUGUUACCGUUGCAUUGUAAGUUAAACUUUUAGGACAAGCUUCUCAGUGUCACUAUAUCUUCUUACUACUGCCCUUAUUAACAUCAAACUUCACAUAAGUGUUGGUCUUGGUAAGGGAAAGACAUCUACAUGUAUUAGUUUAGGAACAAGUAUCCUAAAUGUCGAAGUCACUGGCUUAAAUAUUGUGAUAGUGCUGGUUAAAGUUUCAUAAUAAGCUUCUCAGUUUUACAAUAUAACCUCACAUAAGGAUUGAUCUUGGAACUGGCAGAAAUCUUUUUGUUUAGGGUCAAGUUGCUCAAAGGUCAAGAUUACUGGGGUCAGAUUUUGUAACAGUGUUGGUUAAAGUCUUGUGGCACAUUUCUCAAUUUGACUUAUAUCUCAUAACGUUUCUUAGAACUGGUAUCCCUCAUGUCCUAUCCUUUUUAGCUAUACCCACACUUCAUCUACGUUCCUCCCGACACCCACCCAAAAAUGCGUUCCAUACAAAAACCUAUAGUUCAUGUUUCCAUCAACUCCCCUACUCCGCUGUCUUCACCUACCUCCUCCACCCCAUUUCACCGGACCUUUACCCUCGUCCCUAACCCCCGCCCCCUCCAUAAAAAUGAUAAAAAAACCCCUCCUUUUCGAUCUCCCACACUUACUUAUAAUAAUAACAAUAUCUUGUUAUACAUUUUCUUUAUAGUCGAGCAGACACAAUUAACUCAGAUCACUAGGUCCACGGUCAAGGUCACACCUAAAAAUCAGAAGUCAAGAUGACAACAUUUUACUUUCCAUUAUCCAAGUGAUGUCUGGGGGUAUUAAUCGACUUCAGUGAUAGCCUUAGUUGAUCAGGUGUUAGUGGCAUAAAUGUGUAACAUUUGCUUUAUUGGGGGGAUAGGAAUGGUCUCCGUCCGUCCGUCCGUCUGUCCGUCCGUCUGCCCGUCCGUAACACUUUCGUGUCCAGGCCAUAUCUCCUAAACCCCUUGAAGGAUUUUCAUGAAACUUGGGUCAAAUGAUCACAUCAAGACGAUGUGCAGAACUUAUAAGUUUGCUAUGUCGGCGCAAGGUCAAGGUCACGACUCAAGGUCAAAGGUUUUAGCCUUCCAUUUCGUGUCCGCUCUGUAUCUCCUAAACCUCUUGAAGGAGUUUUAUAAAACUCGGAUCAAAUGAUCACCUCAUCAAGAGGAUAUGCAGAACUUAUGAGUCAGCCAUGCCAGCUCAAGGUCAAAGUCACAACUUAGGGUUAAAGGUUUGAGCCUUCCAUUUUGUGUCCGCUUUGUAUCUCCUAAACCCCUUGAAAGAUUUUCAUGAAACUUGGGUCAAAUUAUCACUUCAUCAAGACGAUGUGUAGAACUCAUGAGUCAGCCAUGUUGGCUCAAGGUCAAGGCCACAACUUGGGAUCAAAGGUUUGAGCCUUCCAUUUUGUGUCCGCUCUGUAUCUUCUAAACCCCUUGAAGGAUUUUCAUGAAUUCUUGGUCAAAUGAUCACCUCAUCAAGAUAAUGUGCAGAACCUAUGAGUUCUAUGAGGCUCAAGGUCAAGUUCAUAAAGGUUUGAGUCUUCCAUUUUGUGUCAACUCUGUAUCUCCUAAACCCCUUGAAGGAUUUUCAUUAAACUUGGGCCAAAUGAUUACCACAUCAAGAACUCAUGAUUCAGCUAUGUCAACUCAAGGUCAAGGUCACAACUCAAGGUCAAAGGUUUAAGCUCUGUAUUUCCUAAACCCCUUGAAGGAUUUUUAUGAAACUUUGGUCAAAUGACCAACUCAUCAAGAUGAUGUGCAGAAUUCAUAAAUCAGUCAUGUCAGUUCAUUGUUAAGGUCACAGCUCAAGGUCAAAGGUUCAAGUUACCCGUUCACUAUCCAUAACAGUGGCGGGGAUUUUAGCUGUCUUUCAGACUGCCAUGUAAUAAUUGAUUUUAGGAUGGGAGAUAUUUGUUUGUUUCAGUGUAAGAUCGACAAUCAUUUUAAAUACAUCUCGCGAAAAUGUAAACUCUAGUGUUCAAGCGUGAAAAAUAAUCAGUUUUACUAUAAAUCAAAGAAAUUUAUAUUAUGCAAUUAAAUAUAUGUGUACUAUUAAUCAAAGAAAUUUUAUAUUAUGCAA